rnacentral:misc_RNA from 1 species
GAUGAAGAACGUAGCGAAAUGCGAUACGUAAUGUGAAUUGCAGAAUUCAGUGAAUCAUCGAAUCUUUGAACGCAUAUUGCGCUCUCUGGUAUUCCGGAGAGCAUGCUUGUUUGAGUUUCAGUAAACACCUCAACUUCCAUAUCUUUUUUGAAAUGGGAGUUGGACUUGAGUGAUCCCAACGCUUUUCCUCACCGAAAAGUGGCGGGUUACUUGAAAUGCAGGUGCAGCUGGACUUUUCUCUGAGCUAUAAGCAUAUCUAUUUAGUCUGCCUAAAAAACAGAUUAUUACCUUUGCUGCAGCUAACAUAAAGGAGAUUAGUUCUUGUGCUGACUGAUGCAGGAUUCACAAAGACAGGCUUCGGCCGACUUUGUAAACUCGAUCUCAAAUCAAGUAAGACUACCCGCUGAACUUAAGCAUAUCAAUAAGCGGAGGA